rnacentral:rRNA from 1 species
AGAGUUUGAUCCUGGCUCAGAUUGAACGCUGGCGGAAUGCUUUACACAUGCAAGUCGAACGAUGAACCUUAGCUUGCUAAGGGGAUUAGUGGCGAACGGGUGAGUAAUAUAUCGGAACGUGCCUUGUAAUGGGGGAUAACUAGUCGAAAGAUUAGCUAAUACCGCAUACGCCCUGAGGGGAAAGUAGGGGAUCUUCGGACCUUACGUUAUAAGAGCGGCCGAUAUCUGAUUAGCUAGUUGGUGGGGUAAUGGCCUACCAAGGCGACGAUCAGUAGCUGGUCUGAGAGGACGACCAGCCACACUGGAACUGAGACACGGUCCAGACUCCUACGGGAGGCAGCAGUGGGGAAUUUUGGACAAUGGGCGCAAGCCUGAUCCAGCCAUUCCGCGUGAGUGAAGAAGGCCUUCGGGUUGUAAAGCUCUUUCGCAAGGGAAGAAAACUUACUUUCUAAUAAAGAGUGAGGCUGACGGUACCUUGAUAAGAAGCACCGGCUAACUACGUGCCAGCAGCCGCGGUAAUACGUAGGGUGCGAGCGUUAAUCGGAAUUACUGGGCGUAAAGCGUGCGCAGGCGGUUUGGCAAGUCAGAUGUGAAAUCCCCGAGCUCAACUUGGGAACUGCGUUUGAAACUGCCAGACUAGAAUAUGUCAGAGGGGGGUAGAAUUCCACGUGUAGCAGUGAAAUGCGUAGAGAUGUGGAGGAAUACCAAUGGCGAAGGCAGCCCCCUGGGAUAAUAUUGACGCUCAUGCACGAAAGCGUGGGGAGCAAACAGAAGUAGAUACCCUGGUAGUCCACGCCCUAAAC